UGUGUCGGGGGAGCUGUGUGACAGCAAAGCUGCAGGAGACCUGGGUACUGCCAAGUCCUUUUUUUCCCCCCAGGAUGAGCAAGCAGAAGCCUCUUUCCAAAAAAUGACCAAAAAGCUACCUACUACUUGGGAAUUGAAUCCCCAUCGUCCCGCGGUAUCUGCACCCCAGCCUCAGCCGCCCUCUGGUGUUGCACACCCGCCCCAAGCUCCUUCUCGUCCUACAUGCCGGCCUCACCCUCCUUCUAUCCCCAAACGCAGGCCUCACCCUCCUCCCCGGCCCACAGGCCCCCCGCAACCUCCUUCCGGCCCCACGUGCCAGCGCUACCCCCCUAUUCCUCCAUCCUGGCCUCGCCCGCCGUGUGUUCUGAGAGGCCGGCCUUGUCCUCCAGUUCCCACACGCCGCCUUCGCCCUCCCGGGAUUGCACCCCAGCCUCGCCCCACUCCUGACGCCCCCCACCAGCCGCCCUCUCCCUCCGACGCCCCGCUGCAGCCGCUCCAGCUCCGCCCUCCUCCACGCUACAGUCCUCUUUUCCACGUUCCUGCGGACUCUCCGCACUUGGUCAGCUCCGAGACCAUGCCCCACUGCGAUCAGCCUCUCACGGUCUUCUGCUCCACUUCCCUGGCUCCCCUGCCUUGCAACUCUCCCUACUACCCUACCUUCAUCCUCUCCCUGCCCAGCUUUUCCGCUGCUCCGGCGCGACCUCCCAGGCACGCCCCUGAGGGAUUCCCUCCUCUGUCCCAUUCCUCCUCCUAACAGCCUUCCUUCCAGUCCCCUGUACUCCAUUCUGCCCCCACCCCCACCCGUUCAUGUGCAUCCAAACCUGGUCAUUCACAAAGCUCAUCCUGGAGAUACGCUUUCCCAACCACGGGGACAGUUCUGGCGCAGCUCACAACUCUAAGGACUCUGGAUUCCCUGCAGCCCGACCUGGUGGGCCCAGGAAAGAUGGGACCGUGGCAAGCCAACCCUCAGCCCGAGAAGUCACCUCGGUGAACCAACAGACAAUGUGGUUUGUUGCUAAUGGGGAUGGUAUCAUGCUUGCAUUAUAUCUUCUGAUGAUUCCCUGUUAAGGGUGCUGAUAGGUGCGAUGUGAAGUGAGAAGGAGCCACGAUAUUUCUGGAGAAAUCAUUCUGCUAAGAACACAAGGAGAUGCACGACCCAGGUGAUGGCCAGUCAUCAUUGCCCUAUCUCUUGGGUCUGCCAUUGAUGGUAAAAAUCUGAAUGUUGGAACUGAGUGUUAACUUCUGUUUUAUACCCUGUAAAAGGAAAGAUUUCCACUGAGCACUCAACAACUUCUGAGAAUGCAACACAUCUUUGCUUCUAGCCAGACUACUUGCCAGGUGGAUGUCUUGCCAUGGAAAACACUAUAUACUCAAUCCCUGAGGACAGGAAGAAUGGCCACCAUUGUCAAGAGCCUCACUCUUCCCCUAGACACGUAGCUGUUCAGUUCGUUUAAUUGAUCACGUGUGUCCUGUAUGUUAGUCUCAGAAAUCAUCUUUGUGUUGAAUGUGCAAGCACUGAAUAAAUAUUUGCUAAACUGA